AUUGAACGCUGGCGGCAGGCCUAACACAUGCAAGUCGAGCGGAGCGGCGGACGGGUGAGUAAUGACUAGGAAUCUGCCUGGUAGUGGGGGAUAACGUCCGGAACCGGGCGCUAAUACCGCACACUAUCAGAUGAGUCAAGGUCGGUGUAGUUAGUUGGUGGGGUAAAGGCCUACCAAGGCGACGAACUGUAGCUUGUCUGAGAGGAUGAUCAGUCACACGGGAACGGAGACACGGCCCAGACUCCUACGGGAGGCAGCAGUGGGGAAUAUUGGACAAUGGGCGAAAGCCUGAUCCAGCCAUGCCGCGUGUGUGAAGAAGGUCUUCGGGUUGUAAAGCACUUUAAGUUGGGAGGCGUUACCAACAGAAUAAGCACCGGCUAACUUCGUGCCAGCAGCCGCGGUAAUUC
rnacentral:rRNA from 1 species